rnacentral:rRNA from 1 species
AGCGGCGGACGGGUGAGUAACACGUGGGUAACCUGCCCAAGAGACUGGGAUAACACCCGGAAACAGAUGCUAAUACCGGAUAACAACACUAGACGCAUGUCUAGAGCUUGAAAGAUGGUUCUGCUAUCACUCUUGGAUGGACCUGCGGUGCAUUAGCUAGUUGGUAAGGUAACGGCUUACCAAGGCAAUGAUGCAUAGCCGAGUUGAGAGACUGAUCGGCCACAUUGGGACUGAGACACGGCCCAAACUCCUACGGGAGGCAGCAGUAGGGAAUCUUCCACAAUGGACGAAAGUCUGAUGGACCAACGCCGCGUGAGUGAAGAAGGGUUUCGGCUCGUAAAGCUCUGUUGGUAGUGAAGAAAGAUAGAGGUAGUAACUGGCCUUUAUUUGACGGUAAUUACUUAGAAAGUCACGGCUAACUACGUGCCAGCAGCCGCGGUAAUACGUAAGUGGCAAGCGUUGUCCGGAUUUAUUGGGCGUAAAGCGAGUGCAGGCGGUUCAAUAAGUCUGAUGUGAAAGCCUUCGGCUCAACCGGAGAAUUGCAUCAGAAACUGUUGAACUUGAGUGCAAAAGAGGAGAGUGGAACUCCAUGUGUAGCGGUGGAAUGCGUAGAUAUAUGGAAGAACACCAGUGGCGAACGCUGCUCUCUGGUCUGCAACUGACGCUGAAGGCUCGAAAGCAUGGGUAGCGAACAAGAUUAGAUACCCUGGUAGU